GUGCUGGCUAAUAGACUUCUUUUAAAAAUUUAAAUAGUGUUAAUAAUAAAAGAUGAAGUAUCACAGAUAAUAUAGUAUAUUUAUAGAGUUAUUUAUAGUAAUAUAGAGAAUUAGUACCGUGAGGGAAAGGAUUUAAUUAUAGGUGAAAGUAGAGCUUUAAUUUCGUACCUUUUGUAUCAGGGCGUAUCAAUCUAAGGAGAUUAUAUCUUUUAUCUCGAAAUAUUAAGAUCUAUCUUUUUAAAUUAGGCGUAAGUAAUAAAUUAUGGCGUAAUUAGAAGAUAGAAGUGAAAUGUUAGUCGAUUAAUAUAUAUCUAGUUUCUCAAGAAAAAAGUUUAAUUUUCUCUUUAAGAUCAAUUGUCUUAAAGGGGUAACUUAAAGGGCAUGAGCUCUUUAAGUUUUUAAAAUAUAUUAAACCUGGCUUAAAAAGUAAUUAAAACUAGGCUUGAGAGUAGUCGUGUUUAAAGGGUGUUAUAAUUUAUGUUAGGGAAAGUUAUAAUUUUAUUGGUUUAUAAAGUGUAUUGAGAAAUUUCUUUAACUUUAACAAAGAAAUAUAUAAUGAUAUUAUAAGUAGUUUAUUACGUAAGGAAGAAAAAGUAGAAUUAUUAGGGUUAAUUUAAUUGUAUUAGGGUAUAGUCAAGGAACUCGGCAAACUUCGUUCUUUUGCCUGUUUAUCAAAAACAUGUCCUCAUGGAAGUUAUUUGAGGUCUGACCUGCCCACUGAAGGAGUUUAAAGGGCCGCGGUAUACUGACCGUGCGAAGGUAGCAUAAUCAAUAGUCUCUUAAUUGGAGGCUUGAAUGAAUGGUUGGACAUAAAGAAGACUGUCUAUCGGCUAAUGUAAGUGAAUUUAACUUUUGUGUGAAAAGGCAUUAAUAUUUUAGGGGGACGAUAAGACCCUAUAAAACUUGAUAGGUGGUUAGGGUUUUGUGAUUUAGGGAUAAUGAAAACUUCAAGCGAGCGUAUUAUGCUGGGGCGGCUAGAAUAAAAUUAGUAACUGUUCUUUUUAACAAAAUAAUUGUAAUUAGAGAUUGACCCUGAAUUUUAGGUUAAAUGAUAAAGUUACUUUAGGGAUAACAGCGUUAUUUCUCUUGAGAGUUCAUAUCGACAGGGAUAUUUGCGACCUCGAUGUUGAAUUAAGAUUUUAUCCGGGAGUAGAAAUUCGGAUGAUAGGUCUGUUCGACCUUUAAAAUCUUACAUGAUUUGAGUUCAAACCGGUGUAAGCCAGGUUGGUUUCUAUCUCCUAAUUUUUAGUAAACUAUUCUAGUACGAAAGGAUUGAGUAGUGAUAAUAAUUAUUUCUGAAAAGAUUAAAAUUAAUUUUUAAAAUUACCUUGGCAGAUAAUGCGCUAG
rnacentral:rRNA from 1 species